rnacentral:rRNA from 1 species
GGAAGCCCCCCUCGAAACCAGGUAUCCCUUGAGAGCCGUGGAAGACGACCACGUCGAUAGGCUGGGUGUGGAAGCAUGGCAACAUGUGUAGCUGACCAGUACUAAUAGCUCGAUAGGCUUCAGAAC